AUCCCUUAGUUGUUGCAGGUUGAGCGCUCCAAAAUGCGGUGAUCCGAUGGGCUUUCCAGCUGGCAGCACUUGGGCACCAGGGAGUAAGGCUUUCCCGUGGGACAGGCAAGGAGGCGUGUGCUUCGUCUUCUGGAUGCCCAAGGCGGGCAGUAUCUUUCCACUCCAGCUCUUCUUGGUACAGUUGGAAAAAGUAGAGGAGCUUGCCAGUGCAUAAGCCCUUCCUCGGGUCUGAAGCAGAAACCGUGUGGUUUUGGAGACAAACAUGAGUUGAGAACAGUAGGUUGGAGUUUAGUGCGUUGGUGUGGACCGUAUGCCGGAGGAUGUUGGCCAUUUUGAAAGUACUGGUGGCUGGGAAUCUGCGACUUCCUGUGCCCUAGGGAGUAUCUUAACUUUCUUUUAACUUUCUUUGAAAGAAGCGAGUUUUGGACUUCUUUGGUUAGCUCUGUGGAGCAGCAUCCCGUGGUAACUCAGCAGCUGCACAGCCCCAAGAAAUGCUGUGGGAGAUUUGGGGUUUGGUUCUGACCUACCUCUCUCUCCUCCUUCUUUCCCAUUUUCUUUGAAGCUUACUGUUGUGGGAUUUUCCAGACCAAACCCAUGAGUUUCUUAUCUUUCUUAUCACCAUAAUGUUCUAUUAAUAACUAAUACGUAAGAAACUACUAGUUUCUAUAAACAUGUUUUUGUCUUUUAUAUGAGCAACAGGUGCUUGCUGCUUAUGUAACACUUUGGAAAUCUUGCAAAGGAACAGCAGCUGGCAGUUAACCUGCUAAGUGUCAUUUUAUGAACCUUUUUCUUUUUUUCCCUCUUUUCCCCCCUCCCUGUGCUUUAAUCUUCUUACAAAACUCAGAAAUUUCCUGCUAUCCAAGGGAGAUUAUUGCUUUACAUUUGAACAUGUGUUUGCCUUAUACUAAUCCUUUGCAUUGCAACCAAUUAGUUUCAAACCUGUCCUUCAGAGAUGACCCUAGGUUGUAUGGUUCUGUUAGUUAAAGGAGCUGGUUACGUAGCUUCAGAGUCCUCUGCCUAUCACAAAGUUACAGACAUUUCAAAAUCAAGCCAACGUGAACGAAGUGAUAUCCCUGGCUGCUGCUGCUCUCACGCGCACGCUUUUUUUUUUUUUUUUUUUGCUUGCCUUUUUUUUGGAAGGUGUGGGACAACUCCUACUUUCUGUCAAGUUUUGAUUGGCUUUCAAAAGAGGCAGUGUCCUAUAAAUUGCCAUCUCCACUCUGCUUCUGCACUAUUACCAGCUGAGGGACAGCAUAUUUGAAGAAGGAAGAUGCCAAUUGUCAAAAACGUGAGCAGAGCUGUCGGCCAGCUGCUACAGAGCUCUGGUUGUGGAUGUGGGAUUUCCAUUGUGCCUGUUCGAUGCAUUGGAGUCUCACCUCGCCAGGUGGCCUCCGAUGCUAGCUUUCACUCGGUUUCUUUUUCCGAGUCAGAUCAUCCUCGGGUGCUAAUUACAGGUCAGCAUUCCUGUCAUAACUGUAUUCCUGCUCCAGCUUCUCGGUCAAGUCCCUGACUCCCUUCCUCCCUCCCUGGUGAGCAGAAUACUGGAAGCAAAAAAUACUCAAAAUAUUCCGGAAUUGUGAUGAUCUUUCCCCUAUGGUGA
ensembl:lncRNA